rnacentral:rRNA from 1 species
CAGGAUGAACGCUAGCGGCAGGCUAACACAUGCAAGUCGAGGGGCAGCGGGAUGUAGCAAUACAUUGCCGGCGACCGGCGGAUGGGUGCGUAACGCGUAUGCAACCUACCUUAUACAGGGGAAUAACCUUUCGAAAGGGAGACUAACACCCCAUGGUAUUGAUUUAAGGCAUCUUAGAUUAAUUAAAUAUUUAUAGGUAUAAGAUGGGCAUGCGUAUGAUUAGCUAGUUGGUAAGGUAACGGCUUACCAAGGCGACGAUCAUUAGGGGUUCUGAGAGGAAGGUCCCCCACACUGGUACUGAGACACGGACCAGACUCCUACGGGAGGCAGCAGUGAGGAAUAUUGGUCAAUGGGCGCGAGCCUGAACCAGCCAUGCCGCGUGCAAGGAAGACGGCCUUAUGGGUUGUAAACUGCUUUUACAUAAGACUAACCGUAUAUUUGCGAAUAUACCUGAAUGUAUUAUGAGAAUAAGGAUCGGCUAACUCCGUGCCAGCCGCGGC